rnacentral:siRNA from 1 species
AGCUCCGUACGUAUUCUGCACCCU